rnacentral:lncRNA from 1 species
GGAAAAGACAGACCAGGAAUAGUGUUUCUAUGUUAGGAUCAUGGCUUUACUGGGCCAUUCCAAAAAGACACCAGGCCCUGUCUGUGAAGAGCUUCUUCCUGGUUUUCAUUGGCCUCUUCCAGAUUGCAAAAUGCUGGCAGAUGUUACCCUUGUUAAAUGCACUAGAUUUAUUUUAUUUUAUUUUAGCCUGACUAAGAAUGUUUAGAUCUUUACCUAGGAAUGGAAAGCUGAAGGCUGUUCAUCAGAAGUGGUAAUGGAAGGAGGCUGCAGGGUGGCUCACAAGUCACACCCUACAGGACCUAGAGGAAAUGCAAUUAGUGCCAUCACCUUCAGAGAAGCCACUUAGUCGCUUAAAGAAAAAUCUACUGCUUCUUUGGGAGAUAAAAAGCAUCCCUUCCUGAUUUCUUGUGAGGAGGUGCUUUGGAGAGAGACUAUCUACCAAGAGAAACACUGUUGGGCUGGUCAAACAUUUUUAGAUGCCAGGUACUGAAAAACAAAAGGGUGCUUUCAUCAGAAGAAAAGUAGCUCGCAAACAAGUUGCAGGCUGUCUCUUGGACUCCAUGGAAGCCAGCUAGUUCUGGGAGACCCUUAAGUUCACAGAGCACAGAUAAAGGCUAAGGAAGUGCUUGAGAAACCCAGGAUGAAUAAUGCACUUAUCCAAAACCAAGAAUGCUUUUCUAGUAACAGUUUCUCAAUAUUCACUUUUUGUGUUACUUAAAUCAGUCUAAAGGAGUUGCAUAUUUGCAACUAGGCUAGUCUUUGCUAGGCUGUGUAGGGAUGGAGUCAGGAAAGCCAAGGCGCAGCUUGAACUAAACUUGGCAAGGGAUACCAAGAAGAAAAAGGAUGGCUUCUACAGGUACCUCAACAAGAAAAGGAAAGUCCAGGACAGAGUACCCUGACAGUGAGUGACACAGACAAGCUGAUAACAACAGACGAGGAGAAGGCUGAGGUACUUAACAGCUUUUUUGCCUCGGUCUUCUCUGAUAACUGCUCACCACACAGCCUUCAAAUGUCUGGUUUGGUAGGAGAGGAUCCAGGAAGGAACGUCCCUCUCACUGUAAGCAAUGAUCAAGUUUGUUACCACCUGAGGAACAUGAACAUCCACAAGCCUCUGGGUCCCGAAGAGAUGUAUCUCAGAAUCCUGAGGAAACUGGCUGAUUUAGUUGCCAAGACACUCCUAGUGAUAUUUGAAAAGCUGUGGCAGUCAGGUGAAGUCUCUGGUGACUGGAAAAAAGGCAACAUCACAUCUAUUUUUAAGAAGAGUAAAAAGGAUGACCCCAUGAAUUACUGACCUGUUAGUCUCACCUCUGUGCUGGGGAAGAUCAUGGAGCAGAUCCUCCUGGAAGCUAUUCUUAGCCACAUGGAAAGCAGGGAGAUGAUACAGGAGAAUCAACAUGCCUUCACCAAGGGUCCUUGUGGCCCUCCUCUGAACCUAUUCCAACAGGUCUAUGUCUCUGUUGUGCUGGAGACCCCAGGCCUGGACGCAGCACUUCAGGUGGGACCUCAUGAGAGCAGAGCAGAGGGGGACAAUUACCCCCCUUGCCCUUUUGUUUGCCCCUUUUUUCAGGGGCAUGAGCUGCUGGCUCAUGUCGAACUUUUCAUCCACCAAUUCCCCCAAGUCCUUCAACACAGGGCAAUUCAAAAUAAUUUAUCCUUUUGCCUAGAACAAAGCAAGGAGUCUGAAAAUUGCCCCACUCAGUGUGUUAUUGGGAUUAACGCAGGAUUUGCUGUUAGCUGUUGCUACCAAGUGA